GUUGCGUCAGCCGGGGACGCGGCCUCGGUGACGCCCGCCACUGUGAUAGCCGGCAGCGGCUGCCCGCCCAGCGGGCGGGAAGCACAGCAAAGCACACCGCGACCGGCCCCACAACGCGCCACCGCGAGAAAAAUCAGGGUCUUGCCAAGGGAAAACGAUUACAUCGAUAGGUCGUGUGGAGAACCAAAGUGUUUAGGAUCUUUGGUAGUGUUCUCUCUGCUGCGUGGAGUGAGGGCAGAGGAGGUUUGGCUGGAGGAGGGCGGUGGAGCAGGUGUGUUGUGUGACGCUCCCGCGAGUUGCCGCGCUUUCGGGGUUUGGCAGCAUGUAAUUGCGCUCGACUUGCUAUGAUAGUUUCUGACACGGUGUCGCGGACGGGAAGCAUUAGCUGCCGCACAUCAAGAGCCCGUUUCGCCUGGUGAUCGUGUCGAGAAGAAGGCGCGCCAACUUCCAGCUUCUGCAACAGCGACGGCCGACAAUAAGUGACUGUCGCCACCUUUUCCACCGACGACUUCAAACCUUCAAUCAACCAACAAGAUGACUGAAAGCACGUAAAGUUUUAGAACUGUAUGGCAGACAUCAGCUUUUAAAAUUGUUGCCUCACAAAAUUACAGCAAUUUAGCAUGAA